rnacentral:lncRNA from 1 species
CAGAUAUUGAAACAGAUAAUAUGAUUGGUCAAUUUUGUGGACCGAAAACUGUUAGUAUAGUUUCUUCUACUAACAGAAUGCUGAUUUGGUACUCGGCGAACUGGUCAGCGCACAGUCGGGGUUUUAUGGCGGUGUAUUACUCAAAACAAAAAGGUAAAUAAUAUAUAGUAUUUUGUUUGUUUGUUUGUUUUUCAAAUCUGUAUACAGAGUAUUUUCUGUGUAUUUCCCUUAAACUAAGUGGUAAAUAAUGUAGCGGUUCUUUGCUGAGAUAAUAUUAACACUUUAAGAAUUGUGCUUUCAAGAUUUGAAAUAUUACAUUCCAUAAAAUAUGACAUGUAAUAGGCACUCCCCCCGUUCUCUGUGACAUAUAGAAUGGAGAUGAUGCACAUUAUGAAAUAUCUGUAAAAAAAAAAAAACUGUUCCUAAAUUUUUCUAACCCUUGGCGAUAUCAUAGAAAAUAUGUAUUGCAGAUAUAUUUCUACUUGAAAUUAUUAAGUUGACUAAACUCAAUGUGAGACGUACAAAAUGUUGUCACAAGUAAGAUCUAUUCCAACGUUGAGAAAUGUGUAUGAGUACGGACAAAUGUAUGUUCAAGUAUGCAUACACGAACGCAUAUAAACUCCUAUGCAAAUGUAUACGUGUAUGCAUAUCACAUGCUCUGUAUUCGUAACAGCAUAGGACUGUUCCUAGAAUGGAAAUGUUCACAUAUGUAAUGUUGCAUCUUAUAUACAACGACUAGCGAAAUAGUUACUACAAUAUUCUGUUACCCAGUAAUCAAAAUAUGUAGAAUCCUCUGUUCUUCGGACAGUAAUGUAUGAAGAUUAAGUUAUUCUUUGGGCAUCAAUGUGUCAAAUAUUUUGGUACUGAUUAGGAAAACGCGUAAAAGUACACAGAAUAUGAAUCGUUGAUUGGUUGAUAAAAAUCAUUUUAAUUAAUUCACUUGUCAAAGAAAUUAAUGGGUCCGUGACUGCAUUCUGAUGAAGUCGCUCUGGCAUGGUAUAAAGUUCACCUUUUGCAUGAAACAGUUGUUACAAAGUCAUCACAGUUUCCUAAAGAAGCCUAGAAUGCAUUUUACAUGGUGGAGGCUAUCCUCAACUAAAUUGUUUUGUUGACCACUGACAGGUCUCCACUCACGCUUUAAAAGUUCUACUAAAUUCUGUUGUAGCUGAAUUACUGAACUUACUUCUGAUUCCUGUAGUCAUUUCAUGUUCGACAUUUAGAGCAAAAUAGUGAAUGAAAGUUAUCUUGCUUCUACAUUCAAGUUCUUAUUUCGAUCUUAUAUUCCUAGAUCCUAUUUGAAUCUUAUAUAACACCAUCAUAUUGCUAGUCUUAUUGGAAUAUGCUGUGCAAAGUCUGUCUUAAUGGAAUCUCUUGUGCAAAGUCUGUCUUCUGUUUUUUUUUUGUUUUUUUUUUUUUUUUUCAAUUUGCAAUCCAGAAUCCUUUGCGUUGUGAUCUUAAAAUAUUGCAUGCUCUGCUACUACACUUUCCAAUCUAGAUAUAAUCGUAAUCCAAUUCAAUUAACAAGAAGUAUAUUAUAUCCGCGAUGAGGUCUAUAUUUGUUGGUAAAAGCAUUUCCAAAUCUACGAAAGCUUUUAAAAUCAGGUUAGAUUGGGUAAUUCGGUCCUUGAUAACCUUUGUCUGAAAAUAUAACAAACAUAAGCUGACAGUUACAGCUGGAACAUGUUUGAUCAUGGCUUAAAUACUGUUGAUCUAGUACAGCCUAUAAAUUUAAAAUUCAACUAUUUUGCAUUAAUUUUUUUAAAAUGCUUUAUCAUCAUCAUUAUUAUUAUUAUUAUGGCAGGUGGCGAACUGACAGAAACGUUAGCACGCUGGACGAAAUGCUUAACAGCAUUUCGCCCGCCGCUACGUUCGGAGUUCAUAUUCCACCGAGGUCGGCUUUGCCUUUCAUCCUUUAGGGGACUAAUUAUUAUUAUUAUUAUCAUCAUCAUCAUCAUUAUUAUUGUUAUUAUUAUAUGUUUGAUUUUUGCUUUCUAUUUAUACAAGUUAACUCCAACUAUCACCCAGAGACCUCAAUAGACAACAAGUUAGAAGUUAAAGUUGGUGUUAUGACUAGGGUGCAUAUAUUUGGUUUUGCACAAAGUAUUGUUCUAGAGAAUGUUUAAGAAAACAUAAGAAAAUUAUAAGUUUGUUUGAAAAUUUGAGUUUCCAUAGACAGUAUUUUACGUAGCAUAUGGGCAAUUCCCAUGAGCACUAUUUUUUGAAUUUCAGCCAUUUGGGGAUUUCGUGAUAUCUGUGCUAGGUAGCAAUCAGCUCCUUUUGCUAUCAUUCCUAAGGCACCUAUGACAACAGGUAUUGUUUUAGUCUUGAGAUACCACAUUUUGCCAAUUUCUAUUUCAAGAUCUUUAUAUUUGCUCAGUUUUUGGUAGAUUUUGACAGAUACAUUUAUAUCGAUUGGAACAGUCAUAUUGGUGAGGAGGCAUGAUCUUUGUCUGAAGUCCUUCAAUAUAAUGUCUAGCCUAUUCACAGCUAUCUUUCUGUCAGUUUGAACGGUGAAGUUCCAGAGGAUUGAGAUGUGGUCAUUUUUAAGCACUGGAAGUGGCUUGCGUUCCCAUCAGUUUUUAUCAUGGGGCAGGUCCAAGUUUUUGCAAAUUACACAGUAAUAUACUGUGCUGCUCAAUCAUGCCUGUUGAGAUACUUUGUAGGCACAAGAAGACUGCAAAUGGUGGCAACAUGAUCAAUGGUUUCAUUUUGUUGUUUACAUACACAACAUGUUGGGUUACUGCCGUUCUUUAAUAUGUUGACAUGGUAGGUCUUUAUCAAUAGGUAUUGAUCUUGGGCUGCUAUGAUAAACCCUUCUGUCUUUGAUUUUUAAGCCAGAGAACACUAACCAUUGACGGGUAAGGGCUCGCUCUGUCAACAUCGGUAUUAUUAACUCUCUUUGGGUAUUUGCUAUUGAGAGAUUUUUCAUGCUAUCUAUCAGUAAGAAUAUCUAAGGCAGCAGUUUUAGCAUGAGUUUUCAUAAGCUUAGCCUUUUCUCUACUUGUUUCCAGUACGUCUAAUUCUGGGAUUUGUUGUAUUUGGAAUUCAUUUAGAUAUUUCUUUGCCUGUUUUGUUACUGAGUAUGAUAUUUUCUUGUUUUCCUGCUUUAAAACAAGUUUUAACAUCUAGUCAUCAGCGUUUUUCAGGUAGAUGUUUAGGUCAAUUGUGUCAAUCAUCGUUAAUUCCAGUUGUAAAAUCCACAACCAAGCUUUUUUCUCGGCAUGUAAAGUCGUUCUAUAUCUGCUUUUGGGCGGUGCAUUCUGUCAACAAUUUGUCAACAAUUUUUUUCUUCUCCUUCUUCUUCUUCUUGUAUUAUUAUUAUUAUUAUUAUUAUUAUUAUUAUUAUUAUUAUUAUUAUUAUUAUUAUUAUUAUUAUUAUUAUUAUUAUUAUUAUUAUUAUUAUCAUUGUAGGUACUAAAAUACCUCAGCAGUCUCUGGAUCGAACUCCAAUCAUUUGCAUCAUUCUCAUUGUGGCUGUGAUCAUAUGUAUUAUUUAUGUAUUUAACUGGUAUUGGCAGUGUUGUCGACACAACAAGAUAAACAGAUUACACACUUGGAGGACCUCUCGAAAACACUACCACAAAUUCGACAACGAUAAUAUUGAAGAGUGAUAUUCAAAACACAAAAAUAUCAUUUAAAAAAUAAACAAGAAGAAAGCAAACAGCAGCAUAAGUAAUUACAUGUACAGAUCUAUAAUUUUCACAAUACAAUACAAAACAAAAAUAAAGGAUUAUAUAUAUGUGUACAAAGCUGAUUAACUGAAAUUUUCUGACGAAAAUAUUUUUGGUGUUGUUCCGAAUAGACAAAAUACAAUUUUUGAGAGAGAAGGGUAAAACGCAAAUGAGUUAAUUAAAUGUAUUACUGGUAAUACAGUUCUGUAUUUUUGAGAUGAGAAAUUCUGUACAUUAUUUACAUUAUUUACAUUAGACGGAAACGUGUCCUUAUCUUGUUUAUUGUUACCACAACGUUUCGGCUGAUUUACUC